CAAUAUUACACCAUAUCACAGACACUGAUGACACGUAGGGCCGUGCAUCUCAGAUUUAACAUUGCCUUUAAACACUUAAAUGGAAAUGUGAAGGCCAUGGGUUUGAUCCGGGCAGGACUCUUUAUGUCAUGGAGUGAGAAAUUUGAUCUACAUUCUUUCUCUCCACCCAGUAGGUAAUAGGAUGCAAUGGAUGAUUUUUUUUUU